rnacentral:snRNA from 8 species
AUACUUACCUGGCAAGGGAGACACCGUGAUCAAGAAGGCGGUUCACCCAGGGCGAGGCUCAGCCAUUGCACUCCGGCUGUGCUGACCCCUGCGAAUUUCCCAAAU